rnacentral:lncRNA from 1 species
AAAUCCCCAAAAUUCCGUCAGGGAACCCCAAAAUCCCCUCAGGGAACUCCAAAUCCUCUCAGGGAACCCCAAAAUCCCCUCAGGGAACCCCAAAAUUCCCCUCAAGGAACCCCAAAAUCCCCUCAGGGAUGCCAAAAAUCCCCAAAAUUCCUCCAGGGAAACCCAAAAUUCCCCUCAGGGACCCCAAAAUCCCAAAGAAUUCCCAAUUUGCCCAGAAUUCCGCCUUCCGCGCUCAAGAACUGCAACUUCCGGCUCCUUUUUCUCCCAAAAAUUCCAUUUUUGGGUCGUUUAUUGAGGGUCUUUGGUGAGAUCAAAGUGCAAAAAACCAUCCCAGUUCCAUACUGGGAGCACUGGGCCCAUCCCAGUCCCAUACUGGGAGCACUGGGCCUAUCCCAGUCCCAUACUGGGAGCACUGGGCCCAUUCCCAGUUCCAUACUGGGAGCACUGGGCCCAUCCCAGUUCCAUACUGGGAGCACUGGUCUCUCAGGGCUCCCCGGUGCCGUUCCCAGUGCUCCCAGUUCCAUUCCCAGUGCUCCCAGUUCCCCAUUCCCAGUGCUCCCAGUUCCCCAUUCCCAGUGCUCCCAGUUUCCCAUUCCCAGUGCUCCCAGUUUGCCCAGUUUGCCAUUCCCAGUGCUCCCAGUUCCCCAUUCCCAGUGCUCCCAGUUCCCCAUUCCCAGUGCUCCCAGUUUCCCAUUCCCAGUUCCAUACUGGAAGCACUGGUCUCUCAGGGCUCCCCGGUGCCGUUCCCAGUGCUCCCAGUGCUCCCAGUUCCAUACUGGUCUCCCUCGCCGUCCCCGUCCCGCACCAGCAGCACCGGCCCCAGGCCCUCGGUCAGAACCUCCAGGAACUCCAGGUCUGAGCGGUCAAGGGCCACCAGUACGGACCAGUAUGGACCAGUAACAACCAGUAACCUCCCAGUAACACCAGUGACCCCCCAGUAACCACCAGUAACCCCCAGUGACCUCCCAGUGACCACCAGUAACCUCCCAGUAACUCCCAGUAACCCAGUGCCGUCCCAGGGACCUCCCAGUAACCCCCAGUAACACCAGUGACCUCCCAGUAACCUCCCAGUGACCUCCCAGUAACCACCAGUAACACCAGUAACCACCAGUACCCCCCAGUAACACCAGUGACCUCCCAGUGACCUCCCAGUAACCCCCAGUAACCUCCAGGAACUCCAGGUCUGAGCGGUCAAGGGCCACCAGUGACACCAGUACGGACCAGUAUGGACCAGUAACC